GACAGAGGGUGCAAACGUUGUUCGGAAUUACUGGGCGUAAAGCGCGUGUAGGCGGCAGGGCAUGUCGGAUGUGAAAUCCCGUGGCUCAACCACGGAAGUGCACCCGAAACUGCCCAGCUUGAGUCUCGGAGAGGAAGGCGGAAUGCUUGGUGUAGAGGUGAAAUUCGUAGAGAUCGGGAGGAACACCAGAGGCGAAAGCGGCGACCUGGACAGGUACUGACACUCAACUACGAAAGCGUGGGGAGCAAACAGG
rnacentral:rRNA from 1 species